ACGGGAGGCAGCAGUGGGGAAUAUUGGGCAAUGGGCGAAAGCCUGACCCAGCGACGCCGCGUGAGGGAAGAAGGUCUUCGGAUUGUAAACCUUAGUCAACAGGGAAGAAGCAAGUGACGGUACCUGUGGAGGAAGCCACGGCUAACUACGUGCCAGCAGCCGCGGUAAUACGUAGGUAGCGAGCGUUGCCCGGAAUUACUGGGUGUAAAGGGAGUGUAGGCGGGUUAUCAAGUCCGUUGUUAAAUCUCACGGCUCAACCGUGAGCUGCGGCGGAAACUGAUGAUCUUGAGUGAGGUAGAGGCAAGCGGAAUUCCACGUGUAGCGGUGAAAUGCGUAGAGAUGUGGAAGAACACCAGUGGCGAAGGCGGCUUGCUGGGCCUUAACUGACGCUGAGGCUCGAAAGUGUGGGGAGCAAACAGGAUUAGAUACCCUGGUA
rnacentral:rRNA from 1 species